UGGGUUUUAUUUCGUAGCUAUUCAUGUUUUAGCCAAGCGCUCCCUCCCAACCUUGGGUACUUUUAAGAUGCUGUUGCGCACCACCCAUAAUCUGUGGCGGUUCCAUCAUCCCCCACUGACAAUUUACUCACACAUUCCUUCAAGACCAAAACUUAGCCACCGUCUUCGAGAUUUACGCGGUCAAAGCAGAGGAUCUGUUGCUAGGAAUAGCCUACGAGCACCGCCUCUACCAGUCAUGUAAUGGGAACACAACCCUUAAAAGGUACACAAGCAAGGCGUACUUGCUUGGUCACCUAAUCCUGAGAAGCUCCUGGGAGAAAAGAAGGUACAGGCCAAAAUGUACGUAACUGCACUGUAAACUAUAACAUUUAGCUAAUACUCGCGACCUUUCUUAUUCUUGGCAAACGACGAGGACAAAUACGGCUCUCGGGUCAAAAUUCGGAUAAAUGCACAAUUACACAGGGAUAAUCAAGGUAAAUAACUGCCGCCCAAAAAAAAUGGUGGUAAUUCGCAACACCGCGAUGCGACGACUGGAAGAUCACGAGAUGAGGUGGAUGUUGUAGUCCGAAACGGACUCAACGAGAAAUGCUGGAUGUCGUCGGCGCGAAUAGCGAAGGGCGUUCUCGGCUGGUCUUCUGUGCGCGGCACCGAUGGCUAGCAGCCAAAUUGUGAGUAGUAUGUAAUAUUGUAGCAGAACUCCCAAGAAUAAAGUGAAACUCCCAAGUAAGACUCCCGGGUCCUUUAUGUCGGGACCCCGGUUGCCUUAUAAAAGAUUAAUAAUAAAUACCGCACUCUAUGCUAACUAUCACUCACUUUUAUUUAAUUUUAAGCAUAAAAUUUAACUUAGAACUUCUAGCUGCAUCUGUCUGGUUUGGUGACUAUACCAAUAUCUGCUGACCAUCUUUGUUUCUCCCCCGCCAUACUACAUGGCCAUUUAAGGUAAUCUCAGAGCAAACCGGACUUAGUCCUCAAAGGCCAGAUCGGCCGCCAGAUUCAUUCAGCUCAUGCAACUAUCGCCCUAUCGGUCCCUCCCAUUAUCGACUACAACUGCAACACAUAUAAUUAAUCUACUUCACAAAUUAAAUAGUAUCCAGGUUUCUUUUGUGAAACAUACCCCCUAAAACGUAUGGAUAGGCAAAAAAGUUUAAAGCUCAGGCAGGCUUAUAAUGUAGUAGUAUGUUCACAUAUCGAAUGCACACUGUACUCAGUGUUACGCAUCGAUUUAAGUACAGCCCCUUUAUUUGUCAUUUUUGCAUUUGACCACAAUAACAAAACACAAAUUUAGAAACCAAAAAGGCCCGGUUAUAUGUCCGCCAUCGAAUGCGUGUGAACUGCAGUGUCAGCAUAUUUGAUAUGUGCGACCGCUCCGACAGCCAAGUGAACAUAGUAACUCUCUCUCAUAUAUAUACACUAUUAUACAUAAGCGUUGAUCGCGGCUCUGCCGACGUCUUUGCCGACACAGCCGGGCCAUCUUAGCUUUAUGCAAAUAUGUAACAGAAUUAAGAAAUCAGAAUUUAAGAAUGAAAGCUUGGGAGCGCACCGUCGAGUCGCUCCCAAGUCAACAAUAAAGAUCAUUUUAACACUAAACUAGUAAAUUAGUACAUGUGGCACCAUUUGCAGAAAAAAAAUGUCAAUACGUGUCUUUAUACAAUAAUGUGUUGCAUGUACAACUUGAGGUGUUGUCAAUGGGUACACACUUUAAGGCUUAGCCGAAAAUCGUAAAAACUGCUUUUGAAAAUUAGGAAUAAGGUUUAAAAAAUAUCGGAAAAAAAAACUUUUUGUCAUAAUCUUUAAAUGAUAAUAUUAAGACAAAUCUUGUUAGGAAAGCGAACAAAGUAUUUCAAAAUACCUUUCUAACGAUUGCAGAAACCUAUAGCUUUAAAAGUUCUCUAGUUAUAAGUAUACAAAAUUGAGCUAUUUAUUUUUUUUGGGCUAGUUUUUUUAAAUGAGUUAAAAGUGAAGUUUCUCCUAUUAAGCUGUACAACAUCAUUUUUAAUUUUCAGGACCUUCAAAAAGUGUUUGGAUAUGCACAAAGGCAGUGUAAGAUGCGCUAAACUGGUAACCUUUUUUGUUGAUUAAUAAUCUUGUCACGGGUAUUUGUUCAAGAAUGUAUCGGAUGUCAAAAGAUGAGGAAUCUGAAGUGCUAUACAUUUUAAAAUUUAAUUUAAUAUUUAUGUAGACGUUUUUAGGAAAUUAGAAAAAAAGGUAUUUAGUAUAUGUAAAUUACUAAAUGUCCCCUGGCAGCAAUCCAAGUGUCGGCAGCAGAAGGGGGUGUGCCGGGCAGGUCAGCCUAGCGGUCUUCCUUCUUGGCUGGGAAGUACGUAGGGAAUUAAUCAGUCCCGCGCAGCAGUCAAUGUGUCGGCAGCGGGAGAGGUUGUGCCGGACAAGUCAGCCUAGCGGUUUCCCUUCUUAGUUAGGAAUUAUGUAGGGAGGAACUACCUCCGUUAUCAUUGGCCCUUAAGGCACAACAACCAAUAAUAAUAAAUGUGUAACGGCUGAGCCGGAAUUCAAAUUCAAGAGCGAUGGCUCUGUCUUUAUUGAGAUAUCAAAAUGAACUGAACUUAAAGCUAACAUAAAAAGGGACUCAUAGCGGCCACUCCAAUGGGUAGUGCUUGCCAAAAUUACUUUUGAACGGAUCGAGGUGUUUUUGUUCCCACCGACCCCAAAUAAUUAAAUUUUCUAAAUUUUUACUUUUUCACUUUCCUCGCACUUUCUCCCAAGCCAAUUGAUUUUUUUUGAAGUCCCUCAUUUUAUGCACCACUCGCAAUAAUCGGACGAUUACAGUAGAUUUUCAUUUCUUCGUGUAUAUAUAGUAGUUGCCUUGGCACACCCUGCAGGUGCGCUUCGUCACUACGUGGACUGCCGUCCACAGUGAUAUGAAUCAAUAAGAAUAAAACUAGCUUGCCAGAAACAUCUACUCACACCGGCCCCUACAACUCAAAUUUUUGUAAUUUUCUCUUUUACACCUUUACUGCUCUUUCUCCAAAAGCAAUUGAAAUAUUUUCUGUUUAGUUUUGUUUAAAUAUAUGUUUCAAUCGGACCAACACAGAAGUUUUUAUUAGCGGCUAUAUAUAUAGUAGUCGACAGCAUACUCUCCUGUUGAGCGUUUGCCCCUACGUAAACUGCCGUCCACAGUAAUUUAAGAUCAUCUGGUAGCGCCUUCGGAGCCCCCCGAGAAGACUACCCAAAAAGCAAUGAGGAACGUGAAAAUUCUGCGUUUCCUAAAAGGGUGCUGCCGAAGACUCCUGAAGCUAAGGAGUCACCAGGAAUCUACCCCAUCCUUAAACCAUGGAGCCAUCGUGUUACUGUAGUUUAAAAAAAUUAUUUGAUUUAAUGAAGAAAAUUAACAAUUAAGAAAAUAUUCAAAAAGCUGGCUGACUAAUGACUAAAUGACUUCCCGGUUGACUGAGAGACUCUAGCUUUAAGUCUGUGGAUCAGUCCCCUCAAAAUAAUAUGUUUUCCACAUCUUUUUGCCCACAUCCUUUUGGCCCAUUUUUUCCGACUUUGGACUAACACGAACGCAUACAUAAAUAUAUUUCUCAUUCUCAGCCUCUGGCGUCAUAGCUUUUCUUCUCGGUCGAUUGUGUAUUGACGAGACCAGUAUAUUUCAGUUAAAAUUGUCUUUCUCGUAUGACAGUGUGCGUUACAAUUUUAAAGGGUUGUGAGCGUUACAGACGGCGUGUCACCCUUGUGAAACAAACUUGCUCUAUAGAAUCUAUUUAUCUAUGUAUAUAUAGAAUGUGCAUGGCUUAUUCCAGUAAUGCAGCUUUUAUAAUUUUCGAGAUAAAAACCUUCAAAUGGUCAGAGGUUCAGGUCUAGAAAUACUCGGCUAGUGAUCUUGAUCAGAAAUAUAUAUACUUCAUUUGUUUGAAAAGUCUUCCUAGUAGCUGUUACAUACCUUAAGACGAAUCAAUCGCUCAGGGAGCUCGAGUGAAUAAACUUCACAAACCGACUGGAGUUAAUAAAAAACAUCGCAAGCCGUCUCUUGUUAAAAUUUUCUUUUUUUUUUUAAAUUCCUACCAACUCCCUUCCUUCAGAACUUCUAUAUUACGUUUGUAUUUAGAGUUAGUAUUUUAUGUUAAAUAGAAUUAUUUAAAUCUAGUAUUUUAUAGUAAUGAGAGUAAAUAAGUUAGAUAUGAGUCGUUUCAGCAGUUCUAAGUGCCGCUAUUCAUAAAUAAUGUGAAGUUCUGCAACAAACGUUCUGGGCCGCCAUGCACUCCCAACGGCACUCGGAUUAGACCAAACAUAUCGACUCUACUUAUUCUAGAGGAUCGACCGACUUUGACACGGUCAUUCCAUUAUUUGCGACGUUAACCGUGGCUUUUAUGGGAAACAGUACGUGCAUCGGCGCACAACUUUGGUAAAAAAAACUAUGUUCGACGCUUUUACGAUUGAAAAAGU